GGAUCAUUACCAGAGUUUACAACUCCCACACCCCCUGUGAACAUACCUACCGUUGCUUCGGCGUGCUCGCCCCGGCGUCCGGCUGGCCCUGUGCUGGCCGCGGCCCGGAACCAAGGUGGCCGCCGGGGAAACCCAAAACUGUCAGUAUUAUCAGCUUUUUCUGAAUCCGCCGCAAGGCAACACAAAUGAAUCAAAACUUUCAACAACGGAUCUCUUGGUUCUGGCAUCGAUGAAGAACGCAGCGAAAUGCGAUAAGUAAUGUGAAUUGCAGAAUUCAGUGAAUCAUCGAAUCUUUGAACGCACAUUGCGCCCGGGAGCAUUCUCCCGGGCAUGCCUGUUCGAGCGUCAUUUCAACCCUCGACUUCCCCUUGGGGAGGUCGGUCGUUGGAGAUCGGCACCACUGCCGGCUCCCAAAUUCAGUGGCGACCCGCCGUGGCGACCUCUGCGUAGUAGCUAACACUCGCACCGGGAACCAGACGUGUCACGCCGUAAAACCCCCGACUUUCUGAAGCGUGACCUCGAAUC
rnacentral:rRNA from 1 species